rnacentral:rRNA from 1 species
CCUACGGGUGGCAGCAGUGGGGAAUAUUGCACAAUGGGCGCAAGCCUGAUGCAGCCAUGCCGCGUGUGUGAAGAAGGCCUUCGGGUUGUAAAGCACUUUCAGCGGGGAGGAAGGCGUUAAGGUUAAUAACCUUGGCGAUUGACGUUACCCGCAGAAGAAGCACCGGCUAACUCCGUGCCAGCAGCCGCGGUAAUACGGAGGGUGCAAGCGUUAAUCGGAAUUACUGGGCGUAAAGCGCACGCAGGCGGUCUGUCAAGUCGGAUGUGAAAUCCCCGGGCUCAACCUGGGAACUGCAUUCGAAACUGGCAGGCUAGAGUCUUGUAGAGGGGGGUAGAAUUCCAGGUGUAGCGGUGAAAUGCGUAGAGAUCUGGAGGAAUACCGGUGGCGAAGGCGGCCCCCUGAACAAAGACUGACGCUCAGGUGCGAAAGCGUGGGGAGCAGACAGGAUUAGAUACCCCAGUAGUC